UACGUAGGGGGCAAGCGUUGUCCGGAAUCCUUGGGCGUAAAGCGCGCGUAGGCGGCCCUGUAAGUCCGUUGUGAAAGUCAAAGGCUCAACCUUUGAAAGCCGAUGGAUACUGCAGGGCUAGAGUCCGGAAGAGGCGAGUGGAAUUCCUGGUGUAGCGGUGGAAUGCGCAGAUAUCAGGAGGAACACCGGUGGCGAAGGCGGCUUGCUGGGCCAGUUCUGACGCUGAGGAGCGAAAGCGUGGGGAGCGAACAGG
rnacentral:rRNA from 1 species